rnacentral:misc_RNA from 1 species
UUUUUUUUUUUUUUUGGAAUGACUUUUUUUCUUAUUAUUAUUAUUACCAGAGAGAGGAGUAAAAACAUAUUAUAAUCAUGUUAGUUACUACCGAAACUGGAUAAAGCCAAAGUACAUUUGAAAAUGCAGAGUAAAUAAUGAAAUAUAACAACCUAAACUAACAAUGGUGUUACACCUUGGGACCAAGGCCUCAACCUUGUGUAUCUUGGCAUAAGUCACUGGCAUUAUGUGUAGACAGUAUACUUUGCUUACUUAAAAUCCUCUGCUCUAGCUAACCUGGGGUGGGUAGGUUUCCUAAUAAGCUAAAACUGAAUUGACAACUCAUUAUAAGACCCAGUGUUCUUUCACAGCAGUGAAUGUUUUUCAUGAAAACUGUUGCAGUAUAAACAUUAUGAUGCUGCUUAAUUUUUAGUCUCAUUGCUUGUUUAUACUUUACUGAUAUUCUUGUUUAUACUUUACUGAUGUGUGUGCUUAUACAGGUUUGUGGU